rnacentral:ribozyme from 1 species
UUCCCUCUCUCCCCUCCUUCUCGCAAAGCUUCUCCAACCCACCCAAACCUCACCCCGCCUCUUCCUCUUUCCCCUCUCUCUCCCCCACUCCCUUCCCCACUUCCUUCCCUUCUUCUUUCCCCAACUACCC